GCUCAGGAUGAACGCUAGCUACAGGCUUAACACAUGCAAGUCGAGGGGUAGCAGGACAGCAAUACCGCUGACGACCGGCGCACGGGUGAGUAACACGUAUCCAACCUUCCCAUAACUCGGGGAUAGCCUUUCGAAAGAAAGAUUAAUACCCGAUAGUACUUUAUUAAGGCAUCUUAAGAAAGUUAAAGAUUUAUUGGUUAUGGAUGGGGAUGCGUUCCAUUAGAUAGUUGGUGAGGUAACGGCUCACCAAGUCUUCAAUGGAUAGGGGUUCUGAGAGGAAGGUCCCCCACAUUGGUACUGAGACACGGACCAAACUCCUACGGGAGGCAGCAGUGAGGAAUAUUGGUCAAUGGGCGAGAGCCUGAACCAGCCAAGUA
rnacentral:rRNA from 1 species